AACGAACGCUGGCGGCAUGCCUAACACAUGCAAGUCGAACGAGAUCUUCGGGUCUAGUGGCGCACGGGUGCGUAACGCGUGGGAAUCUGCCCUUUGGUUCGGAAUAACAGUUGGAAACGACUGCUAAUACCGGAUGAUGACGAAAGUCCAAAGAUUUAUCGCCAGAGGAUGAGCCCGCGUAGGAUUAGCUAGUUGGUGGGGUAAAGGCGCACCAAGGCGACGAUCCUUAGCUGGUCUGAGAGGAUGAUCAGCCACACUGGGACUGAGACACGGCCCAGACUCCUACGGGAGGCAGCAGUGGGGAAUAUUGGACAAUGGGGGCAACCCUGAUCCAGCAAUGCCGCGUGAGCGAUGAAGGCCUUAGGGUUGUAAAGCUCUUUUACCCGGGAUGAUAAUGACAGUACCGGGAGAAUAAGCCCCGGCUAACUCCGUGCCAGCAGCCGCCGUAAAAC
rnacentral:rRNA from 1 species